rnacentral:snRNA from 8 species
GGGCGAGGCUCAGCCAUUGCACUCCGGCUGUGCUGACCCCUGCGAAUUUCCCAAAUGUGGAAAUCUCGAUUGCAUAAUUUCUGGUAGUGGGGGACUGCGUUCGCGCUCUCCCCUG